UACAGAGGGGGCAAGCGUUGUCCGGAAUUACUGGGCGUACAGCGCGCGCAGGCGGUUGCCGACGUGCCGUGUGACAAGCGGGGGCUCAACCCCCGAGGGCCACGGUAAACGGGGCGACUGGAGGACGGGAGAGGGAUGUGGAAUGCCCGGUGGAGCGGUGAAAUGCGUAGAGAUCGGGCGGAACACCAGCGGCGAAGGCGGCAUCCUGGACCGGUAUUGACGCUGAGGCGCGAAAGCUAGGGUAGCAAACGGG
rnacentral:rRNA from 1 species